rnacentral:pre_miRNA from 1 species
AGAGUACUCCCUCCGUUCCGAAUUACUUGUCGCAGAAAUGGAUGUAUCUAGACGUAUUUUAGUUCUACAUACAUCCAUUUCCGAGACAAGUAAUUCCGAACGGAGGGAGUAGAUA